AGAGGGGGGUGGAAUUCCACGUGUAGCAGUGAAAUGCGUAGAGAUGUGGAGGAACACCGAUGGCGAAGGCAGCCCCCUGGGCCAAUACUGACGCUCAUGCACGAAAGCGUGGGGAGCAAACAGGAUUAGAUACCCUGGUAGUCCACGCCCUAAACGAUGUCAACUAGGUGUUGGGAGGGUUAAACCUUUUAGUGCCGUAGCUAAC
rnacentral:rRNA from 1 species